UUGUUUUUCAUCGCAAGGAUUAAUUAGGGAGAUUAUUGUGGCUUCAGUUUUCGGCAUAGGUCCAGUGGCAACUGCAUUCAAGUAUGCUUAUCUGCUUCCUGGUUUUUCUGCAUCACUGCUGGGUGAAGGCACACGUCUCUGAUCUGAGAGAGCCUGAACAGGGCACCACCACCCAAUUGAUUAGAUUAGUGUUUCUCAUUUUCUCUGUACAAACCACAUACACCUACCAGGGAAGAUUGAAUAAGAAAUAAGGGGAAAAUGUCUGCAACUGUGAAGGACAUGGUGAUGAGGUUGACAAGUCAUGUAGCUGCUAAAAGAGUGGUACUGUUGAAGCACAAGUAUGUAGAUCACACUCAGAUUGAUUUUCUUAGAGGGAAUAAUUACCGUAAAGCGUCGGUUCAUUUGAACCGGUCGUGCAGUCGAGUUCAGC